rnacentral:rRNA from 1 species
ACCAGGCGUGGAGCCUGCGGCUUAGUUUGACUCAACACGGGGAAACUCACCAGGUCCAGAUGAAAUAAGGAUUGACAGAUUGAGAGCUCUUUCUUGAUUUUUCAGGUGGUGGUGCAUGGCCGUUCUUAGUUCGUGGGGUGACUUGUCUGCUUAAUUGCGAUAACGAGCGAGACCUUACUCUGCUAAAUAGCCAGGCUAACUUUGGUUGGUCGCCGGCUUCUUAGAGAGACUAUCUACUCAAGUUGAUGGAAGUUUGAGGCAAUAACAGGUCUGUGAUGCCCUUAGAUGUUCUGGGCCGCGCGCGCGCUACACUGACAGAGCCAACGAGUUCUUUUCCUUGUUCGAAAGAAUUGGGUAAUCUUGUUAAACUCUGUCGUGCUGGGGAUAAAGCAUUGCAAUUAUUGCUUUUCAACGAGGAAUGCCUAGUAAGCGCGUGUCAUCAGCAUGU